GUUUCGUUCCCCGGGGACACGCCGCACCCUCGACCCCCACGCGCCGCCCUCCGACCUCCGCCUCCUGCCGUCCCGCUCCAGUCGCCGGCGCCCGACCCUGAUGCUCCUCCACGUCGCCUGCAGCUCCGCGUCGGUGCCGGAUUGGUUAGGGUUUGGGUUUCUGGUGGCCGAAGCCGAGACCCCCCCCCCCCCCCCCCCGCCGCAGGGGCUCGCGCCGGAGGGCCCAAGCUCACGGGGCUCUCCUCAUCCUCCUCCGCUCUGGGGUAAGAGACUCCCGUCCCUGCUCCUGGAGACCACUCCUCUCCUCGAUUUGGUCCGUUUCCCCUGAUUUUCCGGGUUGCCUCGAGCAAUCUGCUGGUUUGGGGAUGACCUGCUUUGGGGGCGUGCGCAUCUAUGCGGCGGAUUUUGGGGGAGUCGAGCGUUUCGAGGUAGAGAUGUUUAGGGGUUUUCCACCAGUACAGUAUGGCCCAUCUUGCACAAAUGCCUGCCGGCCGCUCUCCAGUUUCCAAUUGACUUGGAACAAUAUGACUGAAGAGAGCAGCCUAAGAAAAGUGGCCUGGGAAAUGUGAGCUAUCGCCAUGGUGAGGCCUAAGGGAGACUUCGACUCAGCUGUCGUGGGAUCGAUGCGCCGUCGCGUCGUUCCUCCAAGCUGUAUGUCAGAGGAGCAAUUCCAUUUGGAUGAGAUCUGCACUGGUGAGUUGCUGGAUUUCACCCUCUACAAUACUUGCUGCAUUGUAAAAUUGUUGAACUAUGGAAUUGAUCAAUUGUUAAGAUUGUUUGUGGUUGGACUAUGCGGAGGAUGAUGGCACCUUCAUCUCUAGACCUCCUGAUCCAUUGUCGUGUUGGACUGUCGAGAAUUCGACUGUCGACGGGUGCCGUAGACCAGGGUGCUGACUGCUGAGUGUUGGUGAUGCUUGGCCCCGUUGACGACGGAUACAUAUGCUUCUCGACUCAGCCACCGGCAAGUCACUCUUCAGCUUUUGUGCUUGCUCUGGCGUGGAGGCAAAUGGAUACCGCAUCUUCUUUUUCUGGUUUCUGUGUAGGUAUCUCUGAUGAUAAGGCCUUAUUAGACAGAGAUUAGUCCAGGAAGAUUGAAUUUCCAAAUCCCAAGUAGGAUUCUUGUUUUGAUAUCUUGAAGAUCCAUUCAAGGUAAUGAACUUGAUGCACAUAUUGCCUUCGUCCUGGAAACAAUGAUUUGAACUGCAUUGGCUACUGGAUUGCUGAGUCAGUUGCCAAGAAGAUGCUUAAAUAGGAUUGUCUGCUUGCUGUUCCUUCAUCCACAAUACUUCCAUAAAUUGAUUUUGUUGAUUCAAAAUUGCAUGAGCUGCAGCUUGGUAUUUUCAACGCCCCUCAGUGUCCAUUAGGCAAGCUCAAAGUUAAUUGUGGGUAUCACUGGGGAUGUGAUUUGUUUUGGUUUUUUGAUUUUCUGAGAACAUAUAUGGAUAUAGUUGUACGGACAACAACAUAUGUGGAUAUAGUUGUACAGGCAGUAAAUCUAAUA